rnacentral:piRNA from 1 species
UCAAGACGGAAUAAUCGAGCAACGGUU